CAAUUACUUAGCAAGCAAGCACGUCAUGAUAAACACGUCUUCCUUUAGAUGACAGUGAUUUUUUGUGUUACAAACCUUUCACUGGUCGACGGUUGAAGCUUCAAAUAUUCGAUCUUUCAGAUCUCUUAACGUUCUGAUAAGUUAAGCGUCAAAUGGCUUCGUCCGUUGAGUUCAUACGUGGCAAAAUAUUUUGGGCAACUGAAUUUAAAACAUUAAAAGUUAAUUGUCAUGUAAAAGCAAAGAUACGGCCUUAUGAUUUUUAUUGUUUUUAUUAAUAUGCUUGAAUUUUAUUACCAUUUCCUUGGUAUUUUGGGAGUUUGUUAAAAAAAACCUUAGCUCCAUAA